CUUUACUUUCAGUUUCAUCUCUGCAGGGUGCUGUGAUCAGCGCAGCAGAGCCGCAUCAAGAGGGGGCACAGGGGACAAAUUACUAAACACCCCCCCCCCCCCCUCAGCCCACUGCCACUGACUUUAAUCAUUGCAGCCACUGCUGCAAUCUGCAAUGCACAGGAAAUUCCGAGGUUCGAAAAGGGGGCGGAGCUAAACGGCACUGUGCACACAGUGCCACCAUGCCAGCCAGCAACAGCAUGAGAGGGUGGAGAGGAGAGGAGCAGUACAGCCUAAACAGUGUCAGGAAACAUCAUUCGCACUGCUGGAAACCAUUGAUACGGAGGCUCCGUAGGGCUGUGACAGUACAUAGAAGACCCCCUGUCCUGACCGCCGGAUGAGAAUUGUACUUUGCAAUGUUUUCUGUGCAAAGGGAAAAUUUCCUCAUUAAUAUUUGAACCAAGUAUAUUCCGCCUUUACAUGUGGUGCUGAAUGUUCUGCAUUAUAAUGAACAAAUAAAGUACACAAGUAAUUA